rnacentral:tmRNA from 1 species
GGGGGUGAUCGGUUUCGACGUUGAUCGCCGUUGUAAGGGAAGCGGGUCGAGGAUGCACGGUUAUCUCGAUAACGCCCCGUGCAAAACCCAUAGGUGCCAACUCAACGCGCACCGACUUCGCCCUCGCUGCCUAAGCGAGCCUCGAAGUCCGUCAGCCUGGGCUAGCUUUCGUCCCAGUGUCUGGCGUCAGCUAGGAAGCUUGCUGUGUCGUCACGUCGAGGGGCGGCACGGGACUCUUACUCGACUGGGCCUGUCUGGGAACGUGUGCGCGCGAGCCCUGGGGCCGAGAAAAUCCAUAGCGCACUGCACCCGGAGAAGCCUUGCUUCGUGGUUAGCGGACGCGGGUUCGAUUCCCGCCACCUCCACCA